rnacentral:rRNA from 1 species
GUUGUUGCAGUUAAAAAGCUCGUAGUUGGAUUUGUGGUGUGUCCAGUCGGCCUUUGCUCUCUGAGUGAUUGUGCUGUACUGGUCUGCCAUGUUUGGGUGGAAUCUGUGUGGCAUUAAGUUGUCGUGCAGGGGAUGCCCAUCGUUUACUGUGAAAAAAUUAGAGUGUUCAAAGCAGGCUUAUGCCGUUGAAUAUAUUAGCAUGGAAUAAUAAUAUAGGACCUUGGUACUAUUUUGUUGGUUUGCGCACUAAGGUAAUGAUUAAGAGGGACAGUUGGGGGUAUUUGUAUUCCAUUGUCAGAGGUGAAAUUCUUAGAUUUUUGGAAGACAAACUACUGCGAAAGCAUUUACCAAGGAUGUUUUCAUUAAUCAAGAACGAAAGUUAGGGGAUCGAAGAUGAUUAGAUACCAUCGUAGUCUUAACCAUAAACUAUGCCGACUAAGGAUUGGUGGAGUCUCGUUUCGUCUCCAUCAGCACUUUGUGAGAAAUCAUAAGUCUUUGGGUUCCGGGGGGAGUAUGGUCGCAAGGCUGAAACUUAAAG